CUGGGGCGAUAACGGGGCCCAGGUAGGGGAAGAGGCUGCAGAUGCUGCCACUGAUGGACAGGCAGGCUGGGGUGAUGCGGGUGCCCAGGCUGGGUGGGCAGAGGAGCAGGCUGCAGACGGGCAGGCGGGCUGGGCUGACUCUGGGCAGACUGGCUGGGCUGACUCAGAGCAGAGCGUGAGUGGGCUGGGAACUAGGAAGUACCGUAGGGGAGUGCUGUAGAUGUGCUAUAGGUAGCACUGGUAGAUGGACAGGAGGUUCAGUACAGUAGUGAUGGGAGACCAAGGCUUCAGAAACACGAUGGACAGCGGUGUGUUGAUCGUUGACUGGGACAAACAAACACCCUGUGAGCACCUUCGACACCGAGGAGUACCCCAUCUCACAGGACGUUGAUCAAGUUUCAGUCUCCCAUCUUUAGGAUCCGUAGAUAGAUGGUAUGGCUGUUGUGGAUGUCUGGUAGCACAUGGCGACAGAUUGCACCCAUGGAGAGAGUCUGUGUGUCUAUCUGUGUAUUCUUGUGAAGUCUUCAUACCUGUAUGUGUAUGCUGAUCUCACCUCCCCUUUCUCUCCCUUCCAGACUGACACCGCAGUGGCGGCCGCUGCAGGGCUGCACCCACUGCGGUGACCAAUGGGUCUUCUGAGGAGUUACCGGCUGGAGUCAUCUACAAGGUCAAAGCCAUGCAUGACUACGCUGCCACCGAUGGAGACGAGCUGGAGAUGAAAGCAGGAGAUGUUGUGCUGGUCCUGGCCUGGGAGAAUCCUGAUGAGCAGGAUGAUGGCUGGCUCAUGGGCGUGAAGGAAUCUCAUUGGCUGGAGAACAAAGACCUCUUGGCAAAAGGCGUCUUCCCUGAGAACUUUACCCAGAAGUUGUGAGGCGGACGUCCAAUCCUCUUUCUCCUCUUCCGUCCAUUGGACCACAGGCCUCACAAGACUGGUCUGAAGGUCCCCCCGGUACCAGUUGGAAAUCUGCCAGGAUAGAAACAAUAUGAAACCCACAUCUCAAUCCUUGACCCAUGUAUCAAAUGUGCAGAUCAGCACGAUUUGUUGUUUUUGAUUUGUUACAUUUGACUACGUAAUGUAUGUGUUUUUGCUAUGCUAAUGUGGUCAGUCAUGUAUUUAUGCUAUGCUAAUGUGGCUAGUAGAAACAAAAGUAUGCUAGUUUCGAUGAAAAGGUAAUGGACUCUUAGGUGCAUUGUAUGAAUGUCAGACUGCUUGAACAAGUUUUAAGAGUUGCAUGAUAAUUUUACUGUACGGUCAUUGACUUUGUAACAACAUCUCACACCCCUAGACAGAGACUGGGACUGCUCUGGUAUCAGCUCUCAGUCCUUCAGUUCUGGCUGUGAUGAGACUAAACAUUUACUGGUACUGGACCAGAACCUUGGGGCACACCACACCAGAUGAAUCAAUGUGACCUGGGUCAUGUUUGGUAGGGUACUCUACAGCAAAACAAAAAUCAGUGUUGUUAUUGGACAGUUCAGGUAGUAUACCUCCACAUUCACCCUACUGGCUCUGUUGUCGUUAACUCUUAAGUCUAUGCUUUGUCUGUAUCAAACUUUAAGUCACUAUUAUUCUAUUUUGCCCAAUGAAAUGCAAAAAGACUGGGUAGCUGUUCUGAAACCAUGUGACCUUAUAUCUGUGACCCGUUUAAUGUCCCAUUGGCCCCUGAGAAGGGGGCUCCCUAGGCUGUUGCUCUGCUAAGAUGAAUGUUUUUCUCUCCCUGGCUUUAAUUAUUUUAUUGUCCCUCUCUCCACCUUUAUGUAUUGUACCGUCCCUCUCUCCACCUUUAUGUAUUGUACCGUCCCCCUCUCCACCUUUAUGUAUUGUACCGUCCCGCUCUCCACCUUUAUGUAUUGUACCGUCCCUCUCUCCACCUUUAUGUAUUGUACCGUCCCCCUCUCCACCUUUAUGUAUUGUACCGUCCCCCUCUCCGCCUUUAUGUAUUGUACCGUCCCCCUCUCCACCUUUAUGUAUUGUACCGUCCCUCUCUCCUAAGCAGUAGUUGAGGGGAAACAAAGGAAACCCAGCCUUUGCUCUCUCCCUUAGACAGAAAUCCCUCAGAGAUUGGGUCAGAGGUCAGGACACACAUCAGAAACAGGCUCCCUAGAUCUGUAUAUGUUUCUAUCAGUCUCUACUGUGAAAGAGAUUCCUGGGACAUGUCAUUGGGAAUGGUGUGCAGAAGCCCUGCAGGGUUGCAACCAUAUACAUGGAAUCCAUAGAAAGGGCUUUGAAGUUGAAACCUCUAGCCCUGGCAAUUUGACUGGUAAACUCAUAUGUGCAAUGGCUGCCAGUCCACCCAUUAUGCCAUCAUUGACUUGAAUGAGGAAGCCUGUCAUAUGGAUUGUAUUUCUAUGGUUGCGACAGCCUUUGUGAAACACUGGAUAACUAAAGCAUGAGCAUAGUAUGCUCUCAACUCUGUGGUAUUGGUUUCAUUAGAACUCAGGUUAUGGCCCUGAGAGGAGUGAAGCCUGUAGAUGACGGCUCAAAUCAUAAAAUCUAACUAUCUGUACUAGAAUGUGUUGAUAACGGCUAGAGGCAAGGGGUAAUUAACAAACCGCAUGUUCAGAAGAGUUUUAGAACUGUGGUCAAUGUUCUGAUCAAAAUUAUGGCAACUAUUUAUGGGUGUCAUACAAUUUUAAUGUAACAAUCCAUACAAGUAUCCAAAGAGCCCUGAAACAAAUCAUCUCAAUGUCCACGAUGUGUCCUGCUGAAAAUCAAAGUUAAACUCAGUCAAAUGAAGCCUAUGGAUGUACUGUGUUCAACUCCUAGAUGUAGCUGAAAACCAACACCUGUGUGAACACACUGCGACUGUAUGUUAAUGUCUCUCAGUGGAAAGUGAUCAAGCCUGUCACCGACAAGUCUUCUCUACAACAUUAAACAUGGAUUCAACACCA